UACGUAGGGGGCAAGCGUUGUCCGGAUUUAUUGGGCGUAAAGAGCUCGUAGGCGGCUCGGUAAGUCGGAUGUGAAACCUCCAGGCUCAACCUGGAGACGCCAUCUGAUACUGCCGUGGCUUGAGUCCGGUAGAGGAGCAGGGAAUUCCUGGUGUAGCGGUGAAAUGCGCAGAUAUCAGGAGGAACACCAGCGGCGAAGGCGCUGCUCUGGGCCGGUACUGACGCUGAGGCGCGAAAGCGUGGGGAGCGAACCGG
rnacentral:rRNA from 1 species